rnacentral:lncRNA from 1 species
GAAGUGAUCGCUUCCAGCCGUCCUUGUUAGAAGGGAUGCAGACAGUUAAUAGCUUUGUAGAUGGUCCAACGGAUUAUGAAGUUUUUUCACAACCUGACCUGGAUUGGAAUCUGUAUCAAUCCUGAAGAAAACUCAAGGUCAAUACACACUUGUUUCAUUUCAAAGUCAUCUACUAUCACCAGAGCUUCACAUUGUACUUCUCUUGUUCUUUUGUAUAGUUGAUGUAGAUUAACUCCUUUUUUUUCUACUAGCUGGACCUGUUCGUUUUGGAAAUGACAAACACUUUUAGAUCAUGUAGGCAUGAGCUGUCUAUCUAAAUUCCAUGAAAAAAACACCAGGCAGUAUCAUACAUAAUCAGUUCAUCAUCUUGAGAUUCUUUUUCUUGUAAUUGCCUCCAUCUAACGCAAAAAAGCCCCACCCGCAGCAGAUAUAUCAGUGGAUGCCACAUUUAUUCUUUCCAUCUUUUCUGUGUUAGUGUUCCAACUGUAAGAGAAUUAUUGUUAUGUUUGGGAUUUAAGAGAUUUCUAACACUGGAAUCUACCUUAUGCACUGUGAAUUGUGACAGUCAAACUAUACUGUGAACUUCUGAAGUUUUGAUGUAGCUUCACAAACAUUAGUAGUUUGGUACCUGACGGGCAACAAGUGUACUGAUAUAUCAUCGUUUUUUUUAUAUCCCUGUUCCUCAUUCAUAUGUUAGGCCAUUAGUUUAAAUUGCGUGUUUGUAUCUUUAUUAACCAGUGUUCAUAUAUUUGUUAAUUUGCUGUGUUUGUAUCUUUAUUAACCAGUGUUCAUAUAUUUGUUAAUUUGCUGUGUUUGUAUCUUUAUUAACCAGUGUUCAUAUAUUUGUUAAUUUGCUUUGUUUGUAUCUGUAAUUCUGUAUUAACCAUUGUGUUUAUAUCGAUUGCUUCCAGCCAUCCUUGUUCAUAGAGACGCAGACAGUUAAAUAGCUUUGUAGACAGUCCAACAGAUUAUGGAGUUUUUUCACAACCUGACCUGGAUUGGAAUCUGUAUCAAUCCUGAAGGAAAAACUCAAGGUCAUUUUAAAGUCGCCUAGUAUCACUGGAGCUUCACAUUGUACAGCUCUCAUUCUUUUGUACUGUUAUGUAUUAACUCUUUUUUUUUCUAGCUGGAACUGUUUGUUUUGCAAAUGACAAACACUUCAUUUACAUCAUGUAGGC